AUACUGUAACAGUCAUAGGCUGCUCUAGGUCUGUUAUUCUGUCACAUGAAACAUUCUAAUCAGAUGGACAGGCUCUGGUGUAUGUAUGAUGACGCUCUCCCUGUCUCUCUCCUGACCUGGACUAAGCGUCUUGUUUGGUUUGGUGUCCAAGGCUCCCUGUGUGGGGACUUCUGUGCCGUCUUGUGGUGUCAGCUGUGCUCUACCUGUCAGCUGAAAAGAGACAUAGAUCUACGUAAGGAGCAGGGGAUCUUCUGAGCUAAGAUGGCGUCAGAGAUCUGAA